CAAAACAAAAUCUAUAGAAAUAUCAAUCCAUGGUGCCUUAGGCACGGGUAAGGGUGUAUAAAGGCCAUUCGGCAUCACCCUAGAUUUGGCCUUCUUGCAAGUUUCACAUUUGGUACAAACUCUCUCCACAGCUCUCCUCAUAUGCGGCCAAAAGAAAUGUUUCUUAAGAAUAUCUAAGAUCUUAGCUAUGCUAAAAUGUCCCAUUAACUCACCUUUAUGUGACUCAAUCACAAGCAAGUCUCUAAUUGAACUCCAAGGCACACAAUCUGUUUUCUCUAAACAAAAACCCAUCAUGCCUAUAGAAUUUAUCAAAUGCACCAUGUUCACAUGCACUAUAUACUUGGUCGAAGUCAACAUCAUUUGCAUACAAGUCUUUGAUGUGCUCAAAACCAAGUAACUUAGCAUCAAGAGUAGUAAGAAGGUUGUACCUCCUAGAUAGCGCAUCUGCUACUAUGUUCUCCUUCCCUUGCUUGUACUGAAUUACAUAAGGAAAAGAUUCCAUGAACUUCAUCCACCUUGCAUGCCUCUUGCUCAACUUGUCUUGUGCCUUGAUGUGCUUCAAUGGUUGAUGGUCCGAAUAGAUGAUAAAGUCCUUCGGCCAUAGAUAAUGUUGCCAUGUUUCCAAGGCUCACCAAGGCAUAUAGUUCUUUGUCAUAGAUGGAAUAGUUCAAAGCUGCUCCAUUUAGCUUCUCACUGAAAUAUGCCACUGGUUUUCUUUCCUACAUUAACACAGCACCAAUACCUUUCCCAGAAGCAUCACAUUCAAUCUCAAAAGCUUUGGAAAAAUCAAGUAAAACAAGUAACGAGGUAGAAUACAAUUUCUUUUUCAAUUCAUUAAAAGCAUGUUCUUGCUCUUUUCCCCAAACGAAGUUGACAUUCUUUUUUACAAGUUCAUUCAAUGGGGCAGUAAUACUACUGAAAUUUGGCACAAAUCUUCUAUAGAAACUUGCUAACCCAUGAAAACAUCUAACAUCAGAUGCAUUUUUAAGAGUAGGCCAUUCUUGAAUAGCUUUAAUUUUCUCUUCAUCAACCUCUACUCCUUUUGCAACAACAACAAAACCUAAGAAAAUAACUUUUUAUAAACGAAAAGUACACUUUUUAUAAACGAAAAGUACACUUUUUAACAUUUGCAUACAAUUUUUCUUGUCUCAAAAUAUCAAAAACAAAUUUCAAAUGAUGCAAAUGCUCAUCCAUGCUCUUACUAUAUAUAAGAAUAUCAUCAAAGUAAACAACAACAAAUUUGCCUAUGAAAGCUCUUAGAACAUGAUUCAUUAAUCUUAUAAAGGUACUAGGGGCAUUAGUAAACCAUGUUUUGUUUUGAAAGUGCUACCAUGCAACUCAUCCAACAUAUCAUCUAACCUAGGAAUAGGGUGACGAUAUUUUAUCGUUAUUUUGUUGAUUGCACGGCAGUCCACACACAUUCGGUAUGGACCAUCUUUCUUUUGCACCAAUAAUACAGGAACAGCACAUGGGCUCAUGCUUUCCCUCAUGUGCCAUUUUGCCAAGAGUUCCUCUACUUGCCUUGGCAAUUCCAUGGUCUCCUCGGGGUUGCUCCUAUAUGCUAGUCUAUUUAGAAUGUUGCACCCGGGAUGAAAUCAAUUUGAUGUUCAAUUCCUCGAAUUGGUGGUAGACCAGGUGGUAUCUCAUCAGUGAACACAUCUUCAUACUCCUGCAAAAGAGAAACAGCAGCACUAGGAAGAGAAGGCUCAAGUUCAGCCAAGGUUAGUAAAUUCUCAUGAUACAUCAAUAAAAAUAAAGGUCUCCCUAAUUACAAAAACUCUCUUACUUCUCUCCCCCUUACAUACAAGUUCAAUUUUCUUUCUUUGCUCUCCUUUUGCCCCGAACCUUUUCCCUUCUUCUUGGAAACUUUCUUCUCAAUUUUUCUCUCAUUUUCACUCUUCUUUUUCUCUCCACUAGAUUCGGCCUCCCUUUGUUUUUCACUCACCCCCUCUUUUGCUUCAUUUAGUGACCUCUAGAUAUUGAUUUGAUCUUGAUGAAUUCGAAAUGGGGUCAAUGGUAACAAGGUGAUCUUUCGGCCAUCCUUAACAAAAGUGAUUUUGUUGUUUUGGCCUUCAUGUGUUUCAUCCAUUUAGUGACCUCUAGCACCUUUCCUUCUUCUUUUAGCUUGUACCUGAUCCCACCACACAAUGGCAUAUUCCUUAAACUCCACAGCGGCUAAUUUCACCUUCUUUUCUUCUGUAUAGUUAUGGCAAUCAAAGAUUAAGUCCACUUGCCUCUCCCAUUCAAGGUAAACAUCAUGAUCAUUUUUGCCAUAGAAGGCUGAAAUCUUCAUUUUUAUGCUCACCACAUUGUUAUCUUGUCUCUCAUGGUCAAUUCUUCCCCUUUGGUAAGCAUUCAGCCUAGCCUCCCACUCAUCAUCCCUUUGCAUUCUUCCUCCUCCUCUUCUUGCUCUCAUGCCUCUCCCCCUAAGUGGCCUAUAUCCUCUACCUCCUUGCUGACAGGUUCGGUCAUGAUGCUCAAAUUCAUCCCAUUCCUCCUCAUCUGGAUCAUAUUGCCAAUCUGGUUCAUAAGGUUCUUCUCUCUCAUUUUCUCUCCUACCUCUCCCAUUUCCGCCCAAAUUUAACCUUUCUACACCUCCCUCAUUGCCCCUUUCAUUUCUGCCACUAUCCACAUUUUCCUUUCUAACUUCAGCCCUAAGCCCUUCUAUUGAAUCUUGCAAAGCAUUCAAUACUUGUACAAUUCUGUCAAAUCUUUAAGCUACAGCCCUCCUAUAUAUGGUUUCACUCCUAUUU
rnacentral:misc_RNA from 1 species